AGAACUUAUCGACGACAAAAAAGACGAGGUUUCUGUUGGAGGGUCCCUGACGCCCCGAGUCAAAUGGAAUUGAAAAGACUUUUUUUAUAUUUAUAAACAAGGUGGCAUCUCGAAAGUGCCGCUAGUCGGUUUAAUCAUGGAACGUCCAAAAAGCCUGGUCAAAUGCGAACAUUAUUAUUAUAAUAAUAUGCCCUAGAACAUCUUAUUGAAUUGAGUGAGAGGUCCCUUUCUUUCCUACUACUGAACCCGGAAAUUGCGUAGAUUGCUUUGCUUGGGAUUCCCUAAGUAACCAAACCAAUCCCUGUCAUUUCACACGGA
rnacentral:lncRNA from 1 species